rnacentral:tRNA from 1 species
GAGGGUAUAGCUCAGUGGUAGAGCACGUGCUUAGCAUGCAUGAGGCCUUGGGUUCAAUCCCCAGUACCUCCA